CCUCAAAUCAGGUAGGACUACCCGCUGAACUUAAGCAUAUCAAUAAGCGGAGGAAAAGAAACUAACAAGGAUUCCCCUAGUAACUGCGAGUGAAGCGGGAAAAGCUCAAAUUUAAAAUCUGGCGGCUUCGCCGUCCGAGUUGUAAUCUGGAGAAGCGUUUUCCGUGUUGGACCGUGUACAAGUCUCUUGGAACAGAGCGUCAUAGAGGGUGAGAAUCCCGUCUUUGACACGGACUACCAAUGCUUUGUGAUACGCUCUCGAAGAGUCGAGUUGUUUGGGAAUGCAGCUCAAAAUGGGUGGUAAAUUCCAUCUAAAGCUAAAUAUUGGCGAGAGACCGAUAGCGAACAAGUACCGUGAGGGAAAGAUGAAAAGCACUUUGGAAAGAGAGUUAAACAGUACGUGAAAUUGUUGAAAGGGAAACGCUUGAAGUCGGUCGCGUUGUCCGGGACUCAGCCUUGCUUCUGCUUGGUGUAUUUCCUGGUUGACGGGCCAACAUCGAUUUUGGACGGCGGAUAAAGGUGAGGGGAAUGUGGCAUCCUCGGAUGUGUUAUAGCCUCUCGUCGGAUGCGUCGUCUGGGAUCGAGGACCGCAGCACGCCUUUUUGGCCGGGGUUCGCCCACGUAACGUGCUUAGGAUGUUGGCAUA
rnacentral:rRNA from 1 species